GACAAACGCUGGCGGCGUGCUUAACACAUGCAAGUCUAAGGAGAAAGUCUCUUUCGGGAGAUGAGUAAACUGGCGGACGGGUGAGUAACGCGUAGGCAACCUGCCUUUCAGCUUGGGAUAACACUUGGAAACGGGUGCUAAUACCGGAUAACAUCGCGACUUUAUGAGUUGUGAUCAAAGGGGGCUUCGGCUCCUGCUGAGAGAUGGGCCUGCGUCUGAUUAGCUAGAUGGUAAGGUAACGGCUUACCAUGGCGACGAUCAGUAGCUGGUCUGAGAGGAUGAUCAGCCACACUGGGACUGAGAUACGGCCCAG
rnacentral:rRNA from 1 species